AGUAUAAUCUCACUUAGUAAAGUCUGGGGAGGGUAGUAUGUACGCAGACCUUACCCCUACCCUUGAGUAGAGAGACUGUUUCCAAAUAUACCCCAGCAUCCUUCCCUCCAAGAACUUCCCACCUUGCUCUUGGGGAGACUCGAACUCACAACCUCUCGAUUGAAAGUGGGGGUUGCUUACCAUCAGAGCAACCCCUCUUGUCUU
rnacentral:lncRNA from 1 species